rnacentral:lncRNA from 1 species
ACAGAUGUAACUGAGGCACUGAAUAAUCAACAUAUCGGAGCCAAUUCCCAGGACGGCAAGAGGGGGAACCGGCAGAGAUGACUGACCCUGGAGGACAAGAGCAUUCUUCUGACAAGUUUUAGCAUGGACUAUCCUCAGGAAAAUGAGAUCCAGGAAGAGUGACGCCCUCCUCGAACUGAAAGAUACUCAGGUUGAUGGAGUCAGGGACGAAGUGGCUUAUCAACAACACAGGAUGUCUGCAGGGAACAGAACUUAUUCAGACAUGGCCCAGAUUGUCUGCCCGUGGGGACUGAGGGACCUCUGAGGGUUACAUCAGGAAGGAAGGAGAGGCUGUUUCUACAGGUGCCACAGAAAAAUCGAUGCUGAGCCUCGGAUUAUUGGAUCCCAUAGAACCGUGGAGACUUGGCAGUGAAAUUCUUCCAAAGGCAGAGGUUUUCCUGGUUUGGGAAGUAUAAAUCCCGUGGGUAUAUAAAUCAAAUUAUCAUCAUUCCUUUCCACCUUCUUUAGCUUGUAUAACUCAGAAUAUAAUUCGAAGUAUAAACAAAAAGUGUAAAUGGUAUACAUUAUAGUGCUUUAUGGCAAAGGACAUAUUACUCUUUGCUGACGUUUAAUGACUGGUGUAUGAGUUCUUCAAAGUGAGCAAACCAAAAGCAAUGGCAUCCUUUCCAAUGCUCCGAGGUUAAAGCUGGAAAUAGAGAGUUUGUGAUGAGUGAUAACCGCGUGUAACACUGUCUCAAUAAUAGGGUGUCUUAAUGAGAUGACUGAAGAGUACAACCGCCAAGGCUGAGAUGAUGCAAAGGCUACGUGUGGGUACAGUUCCCGGUGCCUGUGCACACCAUUCAGUAUGUGCCAGUAUCUAGCUCUCUUCUUUUGGCAUGCCAGUUGUAUAGACCAAAAUGAAAACAUUUUUUUUCCAACCUAUCAAGAACACUAAAUUGGAAUCUCUCAUAAGAUACUGAAUAUUUGCUAUUUAUAUGUAACCUGUAUGAUGCAGCCAUUUUCAUUCUAGAUUAAGCAAGACCGAUGGGGUUUUCAAGGUGUAUAUUUCCUAGGUGAUUUGGGGAGAAGUGGCAUUUCAUUGAGGCAUUCUUAUCUUUUGUGUCCAAGCUGUCAAUAUCUUUGAGUUGGAAACAUGUCAUUUGCUUGCGUCUCGUCAUCCUUUGGGGUUUUUCUAGACUCCCUGCCUCUUCUGUUUCUCGUCGAUGCUUCCAUUGUAUUCCAGUUGGCAGCUAAAGGACAGGAGCAGCAAUAAGGCUUCCUGGCUACAUUUUCAUGGUGCCACCAACUGCGAGUUAAGCUGACAAACAUUUUGAGAGCUCGGCCCAUUUCAUUCCCAGCAGGAUGGCAGGAGUUAACUAAAACAGAAUAAACUAAAAAUUGUGCCUUCAUUGCACAUUUGCACUGAUUAUCAGCACUGAAAAUGGCUAAGUUCUGCUUAUCAAGGUUAUGCUUCACAUCACCCACCAGGGAGGAUCAUCUCUCAUGAAAACUUUCAAAUUUGAUUUUGAAAAUUUAUUCAGAAAAAUUUAAGCCACGCUCUUUCCCAACACAGGAAAUAAUAUGCUCCAGAGAAUCCUCUAAUUCACCGAAAAUGGACUUGGAUAACAUUUGGGUUCUCAUACUACCACAGUCCUCUUGAGAAGGACAGCCAGGCUUGGGUGGCAGUGGUGAGGAAGGUUCCUUUCUGUCAAGGGAGCUGAUGCCUUAAAGAAGCUAUCUCCAGAUAAAGGGAGAUCUAAGGAAGGAAGCCAACGAAAGACACCAUGUACCAGAAAGCCAAGCAGGAUUUUGACAUUUAUAACCAUAAUCUCUAUAAACAAGAUGAAUUAUGGCUGGGGAUUCAGUUAGUAAAUCAACGAAAAUAAAUCCUGUGCAUAAUUCAAAGAUAACCCAAAUAAGAACAGAAAGUUGUGUGUCAUAGUCACUGGCAUCUAUCCGGUGCUUCUGAACCAUGAACCACAUGACCUGAUUAAAGAGGUUGCUGUGAGUGUGUUGUACUCUUCGUGAACUAAAUUCCAUGAUGACAGAAAACAAACCUGAAAACAAGAGUUAUUUCACAACUCUAGAGCUCCACAGAGUCGGCUGCAAUUGGUUGAGUUGAGGUGAAUUUUCAGUGGACCUGGAUCAGUGUAGAAGGGCAGGAACAUUGGCCCAGCACAGCCCCAGGCUGUGCAGCAUUCAAUGUGACUUGGGACUGGCCUUCCUGGCUCUGCCUUGCCGGUGAAACAUGGAUUGGAAGCUUUGAAUGUUGGAAGAAAUAAACAAGUCUUGGUUGGAGUCCCAGUUUCAAUAACCACAUAUUUUCAAACCUAGACAAAUAUUCUGGUCUCAUCUCCUCAUUUGGAUUACUUCAAUCCUCGGAGAGAACGGAAUAGGACUCUGUAUUUCUUUGGAUGUUCAACACAGUGUUUAACUAAUGGGUGCUAUUUGAAAUAUUAUCGUCUAUUAUCAUUGCUAUUCUAAUAAGGAUGAUACUUGCUAUAAAUAUUAUUGAGAAAAAAAACUUGGAAGUGUUCUUGAGCAACAUAAACAGUACAAAAUGACAGAUAUUAAACACCGUUCUUUUUUGCACGUAAAACUAUACAAAUAAAAAUAUAGAAAAGC